ACACCCAGCUGGCAGGGGAGAUACCACGAUGGCCAAGAUGGUCUUCCCAGGGUGAGCUGGUCCAUCGCACUCUGAUGUGCUGAUCCCUGCGAUGUGCCCAAAAGUGGGAAACUCGAGUGCAGAAUUUGUGGUAGUGGGGGACAGUAUUUGCACUCUCCCCUG
rnacentral:snRNA from 1 species